rnacentral:rRNA from 1 species
AAGCAUUUGCUGUACCGCGUUGACGGAGCGAAGCGACGUCAAACCGAUAAAACAGCAGUGUAAAGUGAGCCGCAGGGCGCUUUGCGCGACAGCGCAAAGGCAGGCGGUUUCGCGUAGCGAAAGCGAAUGCUUUGGGGUGGGGUGACUGCGUACCUUUUGUAUAAUGGGUCAGCGACUUAUAUUCUGUAGCAAGGUUAACCGAAUAGGGGAGCCGGAGGGAAACCGAGUCUUAAUUGGGCGUUAAGUUGCAGGGUAUAGACCCGAAACCCGGUGAUCUAGCCAUGGGCAGGUUGAAGGUUGGGUAACACUAACUGGAGGACCGAACCGACUAAUGUUGAAAAAUUAGCGGAUGACCUGUGGCUGGGGGUGAAAGGCCAAUCAAACCGGGAGAUAGCUGGUUCUCCCCGAAAGCUAUUUAGGUAGCGCCUCGUGAAUUCAUCUCCGGGGGUAGAGCACUGUUUCGGCUAGGGGGCCAUCCCGGCUUACCAACCCGAUGCAAACUGCGAAUACCGGAGAAUGUUAUCACGGGAGACACACGGCGGGUGCUAACGUCCGUCGUGAAGAGGGAAACAACCCAGACCGCCAGCUAAGGUCCCAAAGUCAUGGUUAAGUGGGAAACGAUGUGGGAAGGCCCAGACAGCCAGGAUGUUGGCUUAGAAGCAGCCAUCAUUUAAAGAAAGCGUAAUAGCUCACUGGUCGAGUCGGCCUGCGCGGAAGAUGUAACGGGGCUAAACCAUGCACCGAAGCUGCGGCAGCGACACUGUGUGUUGUUGGGUAGGGGAGCGUUCUGUAAGCCUGUGAAGGUGUGUCGUGAGGCAUGCUGGAGGUAUCAGAAGUGCGAAUGCUGACAUAAGUAACGAUAAAGCGGGUGAAAAGCCCGCUCGCCGGAAGACCAAGGGUUCCUGUCCAACGUUAAUCGGGGCAGGGUGAGUCGACCCCUAAGGCGAGGCCGAAAGGCGUAGUCGAUGGGAAACGGGUUAAUAUUCCCGUACUUGGUGUUACUGCGAAGGGGGGACGGAGAAGGCUAUGUUGGCCGGGCGACGGUUGUCCCGGUUUAAGCGUGUAGGUGUGUGUUCCAGGUAAAUCCGGUUCACUUUAACACUGAGGCGUGACGACGAGGCACUACGGUGCUGAAGCAACAAAUGCCCUGCUUCCAGGAAAAGCCUCUAAGCAUCAGGUAACAUCAAAUCGUACCCCAAACCGACACAGGUGGUCAGGUAGAGAAUACCAAGGCGCUUGAGAGAACUCGGGUGAAGGAACUAGGCAAAAUGGUGCCGUAACUUCGGGAGAAGGCACGCUGACACGUAGGUGAAGUGAUUUACUCAUGGAGCUGAAGUCAGUCGAAGAUACCAGCUGGCUGCAACUGUUUAUUAAAAACACAGCACUGUGCAAACACGAAAGUGGACGUAUACGGUGUGACGCCUGCCCGGUGCCGGAAGGUUAAUUGAUGGGGUCAGCGCAAGCGAAGCUCCUGAU